UACGGAGGAUGCGAGCGUUAUCCGGAUUUAUUGGGUUUAAAGGGUGCGCAGGCGGCACGGCAAGCCGGCGGUCAAAUCGCGGGGCUCAACCCCGCCCAGCCGCCGGAACUGCCGGGCUAGAGUGGGCGAGAAGUGCGCGGAAUGCGUGGUGUAGCGGUGAAAUGCAUAGAUAUCACGCAGAACUCCGAUUGCGAAGGCAGCGCACCGGCGCCCUACUGACGCUCAGGCACGAAAGCGUGGGUAUCGAACAGG
rnacentral:rRNA from 1 species